rnacentral:lncRNA from 1 species
UGGCACUUGCAAAACGUUACUACCGUGCAUACAACAUAUAAGAAUCCAAAUCGACCGCAGUGAAUUCACGAGAUUAAUGUCACAUGUACGCGUUUUCUUCCAAUAGGGUAUCACAAAGAGACCACAAACGAAUUCCACCAUCAUAUAUACACAAUACUCUAGUGCAAACUUGUAAGCAAGUAGCCCGGAGGAGUAGUAUCGAACAUCGUCACCAGACCCAUAAUGAUCCACCAAACUUCACGGCUAGCUAUUGAUGAUUAUGAUCUAGUAAUAGCACAAAUAAGCAAGUCUAAAAAAGUUUCCAUGGUAAUGCCAAUUAGGAUUGACUACUAAUGGACGAAGCAAGUCUGCAUAAACUCUCUUUUCCCUCUGAAAACUUGUAUCUGUUGGAAUCACUCACAACCAUCAGUGGAAUGACGAUUGGGCCUUGCCAAAAUCCCCGGAUAUCUUCUCUUCUUAGCUUCGUCUGCCAAUAACCCAACCGAAGAUUUCAUCAGAUUACCACAUAAAAGAACAUUGUCAUAUCAACAUUAACCAUCCAACAAUGUAACUUCAAGUACUGUAAAUCUAAACACCAUGUCAUUCAUGUUCCAGCAAUGAAGUAACUUCUAUCUUGUGAGAUAUUACAGAAUUUGAAUCUUUCUCGUCCAUUCAAUUCGUAGUGCUAACAAACACACAACUGAUGAUAUGAACUUGCAACAUCAGAUAUUAACUGUUCUCAAAGGGGCAUCUACCAAAAUGUAGUGGCAUAGCACCACCAUAAAGUACUAGAUGUGCAUCCAUUUACUGUCAUGUUAUUUAUUUAUUACAUGAUCAAACAGUUUACUUCUUUUUACUGAAGUAUAAAAGCAUUAAAGUGAGUCACAGAACAGGGGACAAAGGCACAAUGGCAAUUCUACCAAAAUGUAGUGGGCAUAGCGCCACAUAAAAAUUGAUAAUUAUUAAAAGGACUAGAGGUGUGCCAUUUUACCGUCUUGUUAUUUAUUUACUAAGAUCAAACAGUUCACUCCUUUUUACCAGAGUGACGGAACAUGGUAUAAAGUAAUAAAUGCCAUGUUAGAAUAAAUCCGAGGCACUCCGUCGAUCAUCCAAGGACCAAGCAAUCACACGAGCACGACACCGAGAUUUGUUAACGAGGUUCACCGAUAUGGCUACAUCCCCGGGGCCUAACUACGGGCACUCCUCCCCGUAACACCGUUACAAUACUGCAUCCGGUCGCCCUGGACACCGGCACAUGCCGCCGGCUUCCCCUGCGUUCCGGUGCUAUUAUGUUGGCAUAGGUUACAUCGUGUGUCUAGCCCCGCUAUAUAUGAGAGGCCUAGGAUACAAGUGUCCUACUAGGACACGACUCCAUAUCCUAUCUAAACACAAUACAAUUCAGAGUCCAACUGUAACCUACUUUAUACACAAUAUUCGACACAACUCUAACAAACUCCACUUUGGCGAAUAUUCUCCACCACCUUGAAUUUGUCAAUGCGUCAAACUUCCAUGUACAUUGAACUUGAGCUUAUCCCAUGAGAACCGCUGCUACUCCAAAGACUCCAUAUGACUCCUCCUGCAACUUGUAGUCCCUUCUUUUCUUGACCACAGUCAACACUCGAGCAAAAUUAAGUUCCUCUUUACUCUAGGUUGUGCUUCCAACUUCUAGAGUAUCCGUCAACAUCAUCACACACCGAUCAUGACCUGCGUGAAAGUGAACAACUCACAUAUUGGGUGUCACACAUAAGAGUUACCAGAACUCAACAUCACUGCUCCUUUCUUGACAGCCUGUCUGAAACUCGAAGGAAUUUCACCAUUGCUUGUAGUCAUCCCGAGUCAAAUUUGCAGUUGUCUCACCACAUGUAUGACCACCAGAGCCCUGGCCCGUCUCCAUGUCCCGUGCGUACCGCACGCCUCGCCGCUAUUAUCGCGUCGAGCCUCCGCUGUCCCGGUCGAGUCUCAAGGGUCGUGAACCCACACUACUCAACCCUCACUGCAGAGUACCACCGAUCAUCACCGACCGGUGACGAGUUUCACGCUUCCAUCAGACCAUUGGGCUCCAGUCCGAACUACGUGUCCCUCGCUUUUCCAUCCCGCUGAAUAGGCUUCGACUCUCUGUGCACUUACGCCGUAGCCCCUCAAUCUAGCUCCAUCUUCAGCAUGACUCCAUGGUGGUUGUACGUGCCACCCCGUGCUUCGUUGACUCCAAGCUCUCAUGUGCGCACCGUCUUGAAUCAACCCCGCGCCAUAGUCUUGUUGAAGCCGCACAAGCCCUCAGGUCUGCGCCACGUGUUUCCACGCCCAGAAGUCGGUCACCAUCAGCAUCACGCUCCUAUGUCAUCGUCGCCGAUCCCACCGUCGUCUUCUGUACCAAACCGACUCGCGUCGAUCCGUCAGACUGUCUAGUCCGACCCAGCCGAACAUAUCCGACUGCAUGACACACUCCAGACUCCUCAAGCCGUCACCGUAUCCAACGCCAUCCAUACACAAAAGUGUACCAGCAAAGAAAAACAAAGCAAAAUCCCUCAUAGCCUUCUCGUGUGAACAACACACGUAUAUAGCUCCUGGGCUUAUCUUCUUUCUUUCUUCUUGAUAGCAUCCCGGCGAAGGACUAGUCUUUGUGUCAAAUUUUUUUCAAACAAAUCCCACGCAAACGUGCAAGCCUUGCCAGCUCAUUGCCCAUCUUCAGCGAUCCAGCGCCUGGCCACCACGCGCUAGCAGCCGGCCUCGUUCAGGUCAUCAGCCGCCACCCCAGCCAUGGGCUGCCUGCACAGCCGCACCCCUAUGGGCCUUGGGCCAUCACAGUCGGGCCUUGGCAGCCACUGGCGCCCUACCUGGGCCACAAGCCUCUGCUGUCGCUCGCCUCUGCGAGCGCUGCCACUCGGCCACCAUCCGAUCUCGAUUUUGUCUCAAAAAAAAUUCCGAUCUCGAUUGCUCGAUCUUGCCGAGUCGCCGAAAACUGCUGCCAGCCUGCCUGAUAUCCGAUUUUCGUGUCGUUCGCCUUGUACCGUUGAACUCGCCGAUUCUGCUGCUCGCUUCCAAUUGCUUCACCGAAGAUUACAAGACGACCAAUACAUCUGCUCCUGCAUCCUAACUCGCCGAUGACAUAUCCCGUAUUAGGAUUGCUUCCUGCAGACUUCCGUCGAUGCUUUCUUCCUUCCUUCCUCUAGAUCAACUAUCUGCCUCUAGAUCAACUAUCUGCAGCCUCCAAAUAACCUAGCUCAUGAUACCACUUGCUAGAAUAAAUCCGAGGCACUUCGUCGAUCAUCCGAGGACCAAGCAAUCACACGAGCAUGACACCGAGAUUUGUUAACGAGGUUCACCGAUAUGGCUACAUCCCCGGGGCCUGACUACGGGCGCUCCUCCCCGUGACACCGUUACAAUACUGCAUCCGGUCGCCCUGGACACCGGCACAUCCCGCCGGCUUCCCCUGCGUUCCGGUGUUAUUAUGUUGGCAUAGGUUAGAUCGUGUGUCUAGCCCCGCUAUAUAUGAGAGACCUAGGAUACAAAUGUCCUACUAGGACACGACUCCAUAUUCUAUCUAAACACAAUACAAUUCAGAGUCCAACUGUAACCUACUUUGUACACAAUAUUCGACACAACUCUAACAUGCCAAAUGCAGCUAAGAAGAGUAGACUCGUAUGCCAUAGCUAAAACUUCAAAACUUUGGGCCUUCCCAUCGGUUUCGAUGGAGAAAUUAGUAAUGACAAGAAAACUCAAGAAAGGUGCUUGCAAACAGUUUGGAAGCAUGCAAACAUUGUUAUAAUCACACUCACUGCAGAGAUACAACGAUCACAAUGAGUGAUGGAGCGUAAGCAAUUUGAUUUGCUUUUUUUCUAAUACAUAGAGAAGGGGAGCCUUGGCGCAGUGGUAAAGCUGCUGCCUUGUGACCAUGAGGUCAUGGGUUCAAGUCCUGGAAACAGCCUCUUACAGAAAUGUAGGGAAAGGCUGCGUACUAUAGACCCAAAGUGGUCGGACCCUUCCCUGGACCCUGCGCAAGCGGGAGCUACAUGCACCAGGUUGCCCUUUUUUUUUCUAAUACAUAGAACUGAUCGUUUUUGCUAUCAUCACUUCCUAACAAAAGCAUACGGUAGAACUGCAUCAGUUGGCUACUUGCACGAUUUAAGAAUGAUGCCAAUCCCAAUUUACUAUGCAAUGACCAGAGGAAAUAGCAAAAACCUCAUUGGUUUGAUAUGCAACGAUGCUCCAUCAUAAUAACAAAUAUCAACAGCAGUAGGCAGUAAUCAACAACACCGGAGGACUGUUUUCAUUCUAUGAGGAGGAUACACAAAAUAUGCAGAUUAUAAUUGAAAAGACCAUAUGGCUCACAGAUACAGGGGGCAAAGCAAAGGGAGUAGUAUACCUCAACAAAACUGCGAUGGCGCUUUCCUGUCCGCCUGGCCACCCCUCCACACACUAAGAACGAGCGCUGGGAUGAUAACAAAGCAAGCUGUCGCGUGCAUACCAAAUAGUGCCACAUCUAUGAUUACGGAGGCGACCAUUUCACCCUGAGAUAUCGAACCCUCCACGUGCGGCGACAGCAUCGCCACCAGAAGACCAGCGACCAUUAGAAGGAAGAAGGCCACAUCCGCAACAUAUCCAAGCACCGCGGUGCGCGGAAGCCUAAACAUGUCUGCAACCGACUCCCGCGUGAAUGCUCCUGAUGCGCUCUGAGGACAGCAAUUUCAACAAAACCACAGGGAUGAGCAUGAGUAUGUAUGGAAUGGUUCGGAAAUGGAAGGAUGCAAAUGAAGUGAUGAACAUGAACACACAUGGAAAAAAUUAGUAGUACCACUGAUCAGGACAACCUGAACUGUAUAUUGAAACUUAGUUAGAACAUAAUGCUAACAGUGGGCUCAUCCACUAGCAUAUGUACUGCAUUACUGCUGCAAUUCGACCACAAUAAAGAUCACAGGGAGUCAAUUUGCACAAUAAACUACUAAUACUACUCAUCAGGACAACCUGAACUACGAAAUUAAUUACUAACAUAAUAUAUAUGGCAACUUAAUUAGAACAUAAUGAUAACACUGGCCUAUGUACUACUGUAAUUCGACCGGAAUAAAGAUCACAGGGAGUCAAUUUGCGCGAUACCUUCUUGAAUGCCGAAGUGGAUCCAGAUACAAGUGCAAUCACGUAGGCCACGCACAUCAACAAGACGAGAAGCGCGACCAGCACAAGGAUACUGUAGAUGAGGACCUUGAGGCCCCAGUACAUGAUGGCCUGCAGGAACACGAAUUGGGCGGAGCUCUCGCCCCAGGCGCGGCUCGCCACGACCUGUCCAGCCGUGGCCGCGGAGAUGACCCACGCGACCCCGAAGCCCAGGUAGGGGAGGGCUCCCGCCGCGACGCAGAGGGCGCGCCCCAGCGCCAGCAUCGGGGCGAGGGCCAAGUGCACGAGCGCCAGCACCACGACGACGAUCCUCGCCGGCGGGGGCGGGGGCGGGGGCGGGAGCGGCGGCGAGGGCAGCACCGCGUCGGCGACGGCCAUCGAUCGGUACGGGAAACCCUAGCUCCUGGAAGCUUCUCGCCGUGGGAGGAGGCGGCGAGGGGACGGGGGUUUGUGGGAAAUGGGGAUUAGCGAGGAACACGGGAGUGGGUUUUGCGGCAAGCUGUCCCUCUUGCCUUCCGGGUUCAGAUCUGACCCACUUCCUCUCGACUAGCGCAUUCGGGUUCUAACCGGGUACGUGGAAAUAGUGAGUGUCCGAUUCGAUCCUGCACAAUUACAGAAUUUCAUUUUUUUUAUAAGAACUACCGAAUUUAUUUUUUUGACAGAACUUCUCCUCCUUUAUUCACUUAGCAAAAUAGUGGCAUCCUUUACAAGUAAUGGAUGGAAGAAGUACAUCCAAUGCCGAAUUCAUUCAGAUAGGAGGAGAAAAAUUAACUAUCCUAGCAAGUUCGCGAGCUACUUUAUUACUCUCUUUAUAUUAAAUAGCAAUCGUCAAUAAUUGCACUUGCCACCGAAGAGGAGUUAAAAACAUGCCCCUUCCCCUCCUGACCUAGCCCUUCCCCCGCCGCCCCCGCGCGGCNNNNNNNNNNNNNNNNNNNNNNNNNNNNNNNNNNNNNNNNNNNNNNNNNNNNNNNNNNNNNNNNNNNNNNNNNNNNNNNNNNNNNNNNNNNNNNNNNNNNNNNNNNNNNNNNNNNNNNNNNNNNNNNNNNNNNNNNNNNNNNNNNNNNNNNNNNNNNNNNNNNNNNNNNNNNNNNNNNNNNNNNNNNNNNNNNNNNNNNNNNNNNNNNNNNNNNNNNNNNNNNNNNNNNNNNNNNNNNNNNNNNNNNNNNNNNNNNNNNNNNNNNNNNNNNNNNNNNNNNNNNNNNNNNNNNNNNNNNNNNNNNNNNNNNNNNNNNNNNNNNNNNNNNNNNNNNNNNNNNNNNNNNNNNNNNNNNNNNNNNNNNNNNNNNNNNNNNNNNNNNNNNNNNNNNNNNNNNNNNNNNNNNNNNNNNNNNNNNNNNNNNNNNNNNNNNNNNNNNNNNNNNNNNNNNNNNNNNNNNNNNNNNNNNNNNNNNNNNNNNNACAGAGGAGUGGUGCGGGCCCUUCUCUUCGGCUGGGGGCACGGCGCGGCGUCGCCUGGCGUGCUGUGGCGCUGGGUGGGGGCCGCGUGGCCGACGGCGCGACUGGUGGUGGUCGCGCGGGGCCCAGCUGUGGCGGCGGAUCUGGCGUGACGGGGCUCCUGCGACGAGGGCUGCCGAAGGCGCGGCCCGGCGGCCCUGGGCGUCGGGUGGCGGCUGCUGACAGCGAGGAGACCGGCGCAAUAGCGGCUUGGUGGCGGUGGUGGCGGUGUGUGCCGGUCGGAUCUGGCGAUUUCCGGUGGGCGGCGCGGGUUGGGGCACUGGCCCCGCGUGGCUGCUGCUCUGGCUGUGGGCGGUGGCGGCGAGGCGGCUCAGCCCUCUGGUGGAGGCUUCCAUUCGUCGCGCCGGCACCACGGCGGCUCGGCAGGUUGCCUGCGGCGACGGCGGCUGGAUUUCUGGCGUCCGUUCGUUUGUAGGCGGCCUGAUUCGACCUUCGAGCCAUCUUCGCGAUGUCCGGCCGCUAUCUUCGUCAAAGGGCUGGCCCUCCCCCGCUGCGGUCCAUCACCCGUCUCGCACCUGGCAGCAAGACCGAGAUCGUCUCGCGCCCGGCAGCAGGACUGACCUCGUCUCGCGCCCGACAGCAGGACCGAGCUCAUCUCGUGACCGGAGGCAGGACCAUGCUCGUCUCGCGCCCGCCAGCAGGACCGAGCUCGUCUCGCGCCUGGUGUCGCAAAACGGGUCGAUGAAGGCCAAGUUUGGCCGGCCUAUUGGGUCUCGGCACUGGGGGCCGUCCAUGUGCUUUGGUUGGGGUAGCGGCGGAUCUCGGGUGAGGUGGUGUCAAGGUCUUGGAUGCCGGGGCGGCAGCCCUGGUGGUGGUUCCGCGGUGCUCGUGGGCAGAGCCCAUGGCUUGGUGAUGUCCGGUCGCCACGGCCGUGUGGGCGGCGUGGUAGCCGGGGUGUGGCGUUCGGUGGCGGUGAGUGGUGGCCGGGGUGAAAACCUGCUUUAUCUUUGGACAGACCAGCGGCGGCAAAACUCGUUUCCUUCUUGAAGGCGUCUUCGCGGCUCUCAUUGCCCAUCGUGGUGCUCUAGGAGAAACUCUGAUCCUCGGAUCGGACGGUGGCGGCGCCCUAGUGUCGUUCCCUUCCUGAAGGUGCCGCCUUGGAGCCCACGGUUCGUCAUAUGCGGCUUCACCUCUCAGUGUAGUGCUUGGGUUGCUGCGCUCAGCGCUUAUGUAUCCUGCCUUGGGUGCGUGUGUGCGUGGGUGUGCUCUUGUAUUGGAUGCUGUUGAUCAUUGCUUUAUAUAUAAAGCGGGGCGAAAGCCAUUUUAAAAAAAAAGCUUCUGCAACCUCCAUGCUAUCUGAGUUGAUCACGAUCUUACUGCAUCCAAUGGUUCUGGCUAGAUUCAAGCCAAAUCUGACAGCCCAUGCCUUUGAAGGGAAAGAAUCAUAGCAUAUGUCCACUUCUGAUAGCAUUGGCCUUCAUUAGAAUGAGUGAAUCAUCUGCAAACAAAAUUUUUUGACACUGCUGGUGCAUCACGAUAAACUUUGACCCCCACGAGGUCCCCGUCAUUUUCAGCCCUGGAAAGUAGGGCAGUUAAUCCCUCCGUGCAAAGAAGAAAAAGAUAUGGCGAAAUGUUUAAAUUUAUUACUCUCUCCGACCCAUAUUAAGUGGCGCUAGUCUUGCAUUAAUUAAUAUGGAUCGGAGGGAGUACUGUUUUUUUUUUUCAAACAUAAUAAUAAGAGUUGAGUCCCAAUCGGGAUCUUCGAAAGUAUCAAAACUGGUGUCAAACUAUUAUGAUUGCACAAUUAGGUAGAUUUUCAUGAAGAACGGGCUUCAAAGGAAAAGACAAUAUUGUCAAAAGCAACUGAAAGUCAUGAUAUAUCCUUCCGUCUGGAAAUAGAUCUUGAUGAAUAACCUGUUUGAAAUGGAAAACACACCCAAUAACUAGAUGAAAAAAAUACAGUUGCAGUUCAAUGUCGUGAAAAAAUGACGCUAUGGACCACAAUCCAUCGUGCACAUCUAAGAAGUGUCUUCAGAUAUUACUGUCGACAAAAAAAAUUGGGUAAAGUAUGUGACAGUUUUCAACAACACAAAACAAAGGCAAGCAGACACCUCAUCCACGACAGACAGCCCACGUUGCGAUUGCCGACGAGAUUCAAGGAUCGAGAAUUCUACCGAGAUCGAAAUGGAAAUUCAGUCGACUGGAUUUUAGUAAAAAUGAAAGAAAAAGGGCACAUGUCUUUUUUUCACGGUUAGCGAAUCUUGUAAACAAAAAAUUGGAUAAAAAUGUCUAAGCUAUUUCUCGACCGUUGCUUUUUAGGCUAAUUCUUUCUUACAUUAAGAUUUGUGAGAAAAAAUUGUCUUCACUUAUUCAACAUAAAACACAACACAAUCAAAGUUAGCGGGCUUCUUCAAUUUAUACAUGCAUUUUGUUGUCAAAUUCAGAAUAACAAAUUGAUGAACAAACCGGUCUAGUGCGGCCUCUUAAUGGUUCAGCUCGUCUUUGUAACAUAGAUAUUCAAUUCAAAUUUAUUUACCAAAUAUCUAACACUGAUUGCGAAUUCGUAUCCCUGGUCAUAGCAUUAAUCAUCAUAAUGUUCAAAAUGCUGACGAAGUUCAGCAGCAAAUAUGAGGGUGAAAACGACAAUACAAGCAUACCACCAGGUAGAGUUAACAUUCUAACAGAGGACCCAACGACCACGAAGGCAGUAGAUAACCACUCCUGAUAAACAUAACCACGAGGAUACUCGAAAUGGAACGCAUACAUAGCCCACUUGCAGAACGUUACUACCAUGCAUACAACAUAAGAAUGCAAACCGACGGCAGUCAUACCAAUUCAUCACCAGAUUAAUGUCUCAUGAAAUGGAAGCAUUUUCUUCCAACAGGGUAUUACAAACAGGGCACAAAUUCUACCAUCAUGUAUACACAAAUAGUCCAGUGCAAACUUGUAAGCAAGUAGCCCAGAGCAGCAUCGAACAUCACCACCAGAUCCAUAAUAACCCAACAAACUUCACGGCUAUUGAUGAUUACAGUCUAGUAAUAUCAGAAAUAAGCAAGUCUACAAAAGUUCCCAUGGCUAGGAUGUACUAAUAGUAGAAGAAGCAAGUCCGCAAAGACUCCUUUUCCUCUGAAAACUUGUAUCUGUUGAGAUAACUCACAACCAUCAGCGGAAUGGGCACUGUAGCUCCUUGCCAAAUUCUCCGGAC